rnacentral:rRNA from 1 species
GAGUUUGAUCAUGGCUCAGAGUGAACGCUGGCGGCAGGCCUAACACAUGCAAGUCGAACGGCAGCACAGCAGUAGCAAUACUGUGGGUGGCGAGUGGCGGACGGGUGAGGAAUGCAUCGGAAUCUGCCUAUUUGUGGGGGAUAACGUAGGGAAACUUACGCUAAUACCGCAUACGUCCUACGGGAGAAAGUGGGGGACCUUCGGGCCUCACGCAGAUAGAUGAGCCGAUGCCGGAUUAGCUAGUUGGCGGGGUAAAGGCCCACCAAGGCGACGAUCCGUAGCUGGUCUGAGAGGAUGAUCAGCCACACUGGAACUGAGACGCGGUCCAGACUCCUACGGGAGGCAGCAGUGGGGAAUAUUGGACAAUGGGCGCAAGCCUGAUCCAGCCAUGCCGCGUGUGUGAAGAAGGCC